CUCACCCCUAAACCCGCGAGCUUAACCCGUUAACCCGCAUAAGCAAUCGGUGACACAUUUUGCCGAUAACGACCAACGGAGUAGGACAAGGAGCUCGAACAGUCCUCAAAAUUUUCUGCUCCGACCCAACAGUCAACGCUCGGCUGCCUGAGACUCCCGCCGACCUCCGACUGCCAAUCACACUCCUUCCGCUGACGCGGUUACUGAGAUUUUCAGGAUGUCAUCAGGAGCUAGUCAACCAAAGAACAUUUCCAAGGUCCGUCUACAACCGGACCCAUUUCUUAAUGAACUCACCGACAUGCUUGAGCGAAGCACAGAAAAGGGUUCUGUCUGGGUGACACUUAAAUACUAGCGUCUGACAAGUCUAAGCUCCAGAGGAAUAAGAUGAAGACUGCUGGGGAGAAAAAUGAGUACAAGUGUCUUAUUCGAGCUACAGAUGGCAAAUAGACUAUAUCUACUAUGGUUCAUGCUGGAGCUUAGGUCAAUGGAAAGCGAGGCAAAAUUAUAAUAGAAACAUUUUUGAAACAUUUUUGGCUGCCAUAUAACGUUAUGUUCAUGCUUACUCUUUAUUAGCCAUCACAGUCAUUCUUCGUAAGGUUUAAAAGACAAACUGAGGACAGGAAGCAGGCAAAGGUGAUGUUUGAAGCAGUGGAAGAUCAGGUUAAGUUGGCCAAAAGUGAUAGAUAAAAGGACGCAAUUGGAUUGGCUUUAUUUGAGGAAUAUCUGCUUAUAAUGUAGUAGAGGUUUGGAGGACUUCUGAGUUUUUCCAGCUUUGGCAGCUUUAUGUGAACUGUAGUGGGGCUGGCAUAUUUCUUUUCUACUUGAAGCGGCAGAUGAUUAUUGUUGGGUUUCCUUUUUUCCCUUCUGAAAGGAAUAGUUUAGCAGUGUAUGAUUAGAGAACGUAGUUGAAGAGAAAAGAAAGGGCUGACAAAUCAUCGUGAUGCAAGCUUCAGCGUUUGAGUGGAUCAUGUUGUGGAGAAGCCUGAUAACUCUGCAUCUAUGGAAAUCUGAAUAUCCUGGCAACUCCCAUAAACAAGAAUAGGCAUUCUGAAAGCCCGCAUGACUGCAUUAAAGAAGAGGGAAAGAAAGGACAAGAGAAAGGCAGCAGAUUCCGGUAAGAAGCAGGGGGUUUUGAAGAAGUGAUCAGCUGCUGCUUUGCUGCUUUUCCUUUUUUUUGGCUGAAGCUUCUGCACAAUUUUCAUUUCCAUAUACCGGGUUUAGAAGUUAUCUUCUUUUGGAUAAUUGGGCUGAUAAAUAUGCUUAUACAACUCGACAGUUAGAAAUUAAUCACAACUCUUCUGCAGCAUGGCACUAGGGAAAGAGUUUUGCUUUAUUUUGUCCUCUUUUACAGUUUUUACCUGAAAUUUUACUUAAGUCUAGAUGAUGAAUUAUGAUGAAUGUUCGUUGAAAUCCAAAGAAAGUUCAAUAUAGUUCUGUUUUAUGUUGGGAAUGCUAGAGAUAUUAUUUUGUUUACUCCAA